UGGGGAAUAUUGCACAAUGGGCGCAAGCCUGAUGCAGCCAUGCCGCGUGUAUGAAGAAGGCCUUCGGGUUGUAAAGUACUUUCAGCGGGGAGGAAGGCGAUAAGGUUAAUAACCUUGUCGAUUGACGUUACCCGCAGAAGAAGCACCGGCUAACUCCGUGCCAGCAGCCGCGGUAAUACGGAGGGUGCAAGCGUUAAUCGGAAUUACUGGGCGUAAAGCGCACGCAGGCGGUCUGUCAAGUCGGAUGUGAAAUCCCCGGGCUCAACCUGGGAACUGCAUUCGAAACUGGCAGGCUAGAGUCUUGUAGAAGGGGGUAGAAUUCCAGGUGUAGCGGUGAAAUGCGUAGAGAUCUGGAGGAAUACCGGUGGCGAAGGCGGCCCCCUGGACAAAGACUGACGCUCAGGUGCGAAAGCGUGGGGAGCAAACA
rnacentral:rRNA from 1 species